CUCAGUUUGGCCCUACGUCACUUUGGCAACACAGAGUUGCCCAAGGCUCACUUUACAAAUCUAGCUUGCCAGCUGCCAGCCAGCUUCUGCAGUUUUUCUGCACUGUCAAUGGCACCUACUACUAUAAAUUGUUAGCAGGAAAGAAAAAAAUAGUGCUAUCCACUAUCUGUUGCCUACAAAGAGGUAGAAACUCCCUUAGGAGUGGAGGAGCGGGAAUAUAUGUAUGGUUUGUUUUGGAUAGACCCAUUCGUUUCUUCAAAUAAGCAUGCAUUCCUGUAAAAGCGCUGUGUAGAGGUGUUAGAAGGGUGAAUGAAAGCACAGCAAAUAGGAAAUCUGCCGAGCCACGGACACUUCCUUUCAUACGCUCUUUUUACCAUCGCUGCGUGCACAUACUUCAUCAUCAGGAUUUGUGCCAUGGAUGUGUUCUCUUUAAAGAGUAGUUGCUCACAAAGUCAUAAAAACUCUCAUAGAAUCUACUAGUAUUGUUUGCGGUGAAAACAUGUAGUUGCCAUUCACAUACAAUGCUCCGUUUGUACAGCUUUCAGCAAAUGUGCUGUCACAUAGUUAGCAUAGUGAUUAAGGGCACUUGGAGAAGAUUACCACCUUUGCUUACAGAGAGACAUACCUUGACUUAGAAAAACCCUAGUGAUACACUUAAUAAAUUCAUCUUGUUAGGUUUGUCUGUGGAUGUUUUAUUUAUAAUUCAUUGAUAUUAGAACAUUUCUACAGUGAAGGCUGUAGCUCUCCCUCAACUUCAUGUUGAAGUGGUGAAAUAACACAGAGCACAGCUCAGUGAGCUGAUCUGUUCCUAGGAGAGGGAAGUGCUUACAUGGAUAGUGCAAUUUUGAAGAACCAAGAUCUUGAUGUGAAUGGUGCAACAUUACAUAAUCUCAAGUAUUUUUUACAAAGCGCUUUCUUCCACCAAAAAAACUGAGCAAGAAAUGAAGACCCUGCUCUGACCCUUGCUGGAUAUCAUGAUUAGUUCCAUUUUCAGUAUUUUAGGUGAAUAUUGGCAAAUUUCUUUCCAAGUUACUAUAAAUAUUCUGGCAAUAAUCAGACCAGAACACUUGAAGCAGUGAUUUGUGUUGUCACUUGUAGCUAUAAAAAGGGAUUAAACAUACAAGAAAAAGAAAGCAUACAUUUCAAAGAGAUUUGAAAGCUGUGAUGCAACAAGAACUCAUGAGGUUGAGCAGGUUCACUUUCGGGGGUCAAUGAGAUUAGGUCUAUUAUUAAUCAAAUACUAUUAUAUUUGUAUUGAUCAGAAAACACACAGCCUUGAGUACCCAAUGCAGCUCCAGAAGCUUCUGGGAUUCAGGCAUCGCGAAAAUUUAAAGGCUGAUUUUCUUCAGUAUUUUUAUUAAGUGUCAUGCUUUCAAAUAGAAGGCAACAUGCUACACAUGUGAUGACAACCAAACAAUGCAUUUUUCACAGAAAUAGAUGGUUGGUAGUCUCCAUGUGUCUAAAUAUCAGUCAGAGAAGAGGCAGGUUAAAUAACGGUUGUGCUGGUAACCACUAUGGGUGUCUUGUGCAUAUCUCGAAUCAACAAUGACAGAGGCAGUAUAAAAACAAUUUAUGAACCACAGUCCUCUUGGGAACUACUUUUCAAGUCAUAAUUUCAUCUAAACUCUUUAUCGGCUGCUUUUAUUUAAUGUAUGAAGUGUCAAAAAUUUUCUCUGACAUUAGGCUUGUUAUUGUCUUUUGAUUUAUGUAUUAAAGCAAAGCACAGUAACUACAAAGAUUGCUUAGUGGUUUUCUGUUUGAAAAAUAUUGGAAACAUUUGCUACAGUGGUAAAAAUCAUUCACAUAGCAG
ensembl:lncRNA